rnacentral:rRNA from 1 species
UAACAAGGAUUCCCCUAGUAACUGCGAGUGAAGCGGGAAGAGCCCAAAUUUAAAAUCUGGCGGUCUCCGGCCGUCCGAGUUGUAAUCUGGAGAAGUGUUAUCCGUGCCGGACCGUGUACAAGUCCCUUGGAAGAGGGCAUCUUAGAGGGUGAAAAUCCCGUCUACGACACGGACUCCCGGUGCUUUUGCGAUGCGCUCUCGAUGAGUCGAGUUGUUUGGGAAUGCAGCUCUAAAUGGGUGGUGAACUCCAUCUAAGGCUAAAUAUAGGCGAGAGACCGAUAGCGAACAAGUACCGUGAGGGAAAGAUGAAAAGAACUUUGGAAAGAGAGUUAAACAGUACGUGAAAUUGCUGAAAGGGAAACGCUUGAAGUCAGUCGCGUCGUCCGGGAUUCAGCCUCGCUUCGGCGUGGUUUACUUCCCGGUUGACGGGUCAGCAUCGAUUUUGGUCGUCGGAAAAAGGUGGGGGGAAUGUGGCACCUUCGGGUGUGUUAUAGCCCCUCGUCAGAUGACGGCGACCGGGAUCGAGGAUCGCGGCGCAGCUCCUUCGGGGGUGCGGGUUCGCCCAGCUCAUGCGCUUAGGAUGCUGGCAU